rnacentral:rRNA from 1 species
CCUACGGGUGGCAGCAGUGAGGAAUAUUGGUCAAUGGGCGGAAGCCUGAACCAGCCAAGUCGCGUGAGGGAAUAAGGCCCUACGGGUCGUAAACCUCUUUUGCCGGGGAGCAAGGGCGGGGACGUGUCCCGGCCCGGAGAGUACCCGGAGAAAAAGCAUCGGCUAACUCCGUGCCAGCAGCCGCGGUAAUACGGAGGAUGCGAGCGUUAUCCGGAUUUAUUGGGUUUAAAGGGUGCGUAGGUGGCAUAAUAAGUAGCUAGUGAAAUCUGGUGGCUCAACCAUUCAGACUAUUAGCUAAACUGUUAAGCUCGAGACCGUUAGGGGUAACUGGAAUUUCUAGUGUAGGAGUGAAAUCCGGAGAUAUUAGAAAGAACACCAAUAGCGUAGGCAGGUUACUGGGACGGUUCUGACACUAAGGCACGAAAGCGUAGGGAGCAAACGGGAUUAGAUACCCCUGUAGUC